rnacentral:rRNA from 1 species
AUUGAACGCUGGCGGCAUGCCUUACACAUGCAAGUCGAACGGCAGCACGGGAGCAAUCCUGGUGGCGAGUGGCGAACGGGUGAGUAAUAUAUCGGAACGUGCCCAGUCGUGGGGAUAACGUAGCGAAAGCUACGCUAAUACCGCAUACGAUCUAUGGAUGAAAGCGGGGGAUCGCAAGACCUCGCGCGAGUUGGAGCGGCCGAUAUCAGAUUAGGUAGUUGGUGAGGUAAAGGCUCACCAAGCGACGAAUCUGUAGCUGGUCUGAGA